AGCAGGAAUUUAUGCUUCAGAAAAGAAAUGCAAGCAGCGUGUUCAGUACAAUACAGAUUGUAAUCCUGGCACUCAGAAGGUCAAGGCAGAGGAUUGCCCCAGGUUCGAGCUAGCCUGCCCUACAUAGCUUGCACCUGGAUGAGGACAGGGACACAAGCCUAGCAAAUCUUGCAAUGCUGACUAUAACAGAGAGUUGAAGACAGUGAUGUGGUGUGUCCUGUGACCAAAGUGAUGAAAUAAACAGCUCAGUAUUAGAUUA